rnacentral:rRNA from 1 species
GACGAACGCUGGCGGCGUGCUUAACACAUGCAAGUCGAACGGAGUGGCGAACGGGUGAGUAACACGUGGGUGACCUGCCCUGCACUUCGGGAUAAGCCUGGGAAACUGGGUCUAAUACCGGAUAGUGUGGGAUGGGCCCGCGGCCUAUCAGCUUGUUGGGGGGGUAAUGGCCUACCCAGGCGGCGACGGGUAGCCGGCCUGAGAGGGUGGACGGCCACAUGGGGACUGAGAGACGGCCCAGACGCCUACGGGAGGCAGCCGGGGGGAGUAUUGCACAAUGGGCGGAAGCCUGAUGCAGCGACGCCGCGUGGGGGAUGACGGCCUUCGGGUUGUAAACUCCUUUCAGCCAUGACGCGGUAGUGGCAGAAGAAGCACCGGCUAACUACGUGCCAGCAGCCGCGGUAAGUC